rnacentral:lncRNA from 1 species
AUUCGUUACAAAAGAAUUAACACAAGCCAAGCCCGCGAGGUUACUGAUUAUGAAGCUCAUCAAUCAAAGCUGAAGCGAUUCUUUGACCUCUCCGCAUCAAUUACCGUCGCUGCUUUCGGAGAAAUGAUGGCUACCAUCUACGGUUACUUCAAAAAUUUCCCCAUCGCAAUGUUGUUCGCGUAGAGAAUCUAGUGAUAAUAACAAGGGAUGGGGAGGAGGGAGAGGGAGGGAGGCAGGGCAAGAGCAAUGAUGUUUACAUUGAAGGGUAAGAAAGUAGUACUUGAAAAUUUUUCAUAUAAUAGAUAUAUUCAAGGAAACAGUUAUGGUGCAAUAAAUGUUUAACGUGCAUCAAAUGUAAUGAAUUCCUUUAAGCAAUAUUAAGAAACUAAAGUAAUAUAUAUAGGAGAUCUGAAAUAAAUGCUAUUUGUAAAAAUAUUAGAUCUGAAAUAGUUUAAUUAAAACCUAAAUUUUAAAAUUUAUGAAAAUAAUUAGUUUAUAGUUAAAUGUUUAAUGCAUUAAAUCUCAUCUUUAUCUCUUGGUUCAGAUUUUUCUUUCUUCCUUCUUCAAUAAAUGCUUUAAGAUUUUAAAUAUUUCAAUUAAACUUUUUUCUUGCUACCUUGAAUUUACAAUUACUUGUUAAUUUGAAAUGUCUUUGUUCUUUUUUUUAUACUUGAAUUCUAGCAAUAUUAUAAUCCCUUCUUUAUAGAAGUCUGGAAUAAUCUACUGAGGCUUCUAAGAGAGAAAUCUAACUAAAAGUGCUAAGAGUUAUUUUUAGAAUUAAAAAAAUAAAGAAAGUAAGAUGAUUUUAUAUAGUUUAGGGUUCCAUUAGUUAAAACCAAAGAAGUCUUAAAGAUUUCUUUUAUAAAGACUUAAAAUGGCAAGAUGCCUAUAAUAGAUAUUUAAUGCAUGCCAACCAGCAUAGGCCAAAAUAUAUAUUUCUCGGCACAAAACUUCCCUGAAGACAUGCCAUAUAAGACAUCAAAAAUGCUAUACUCACAACCAACCAUGAAAAUAGGAUGAGAAUGCAUGACUC